GUGUCAGCAGCCGCGGUAAUACGUAGGGUGCAAGCAUUAAUCGGAUUUAUUGGGCGUAAAGGACGCGUAGGCGGGUUCAUAAGUCUUGUGUGAAAUUCCGGGGCUUAACCUCGGAGCUGCACAGGAAACUAUGAACCUAGAGGAUAGAAGGAGAAAACGGAAUUCCACAAGUAGCGGUGAAAUGCGUAGAUAUGUGGAAGAACACCUGUGGCGAAGGCGGUUUUCUAUUUUAUUCCUGACGCUGAGGCGUGAAAGCAAGGGGAUCAAACAGGAUUAGAUACCCGCGUAGUCC
rnacentral:rRNA from 1 species